rnacentral:lncRNA from 1 species
UGAGAAACAACUCAUUAAGUAAUAAGUACAUGCAGUGGAGAUGACUAUGUUAAGAACAGUUUUCUUAUUAUUUUAAUAAGCAAAAAUAAUGUAUUAAAGAAUUAAAUACGGGAUAGUUCAUGUUAAGUGUUCACCCCACAAAGGAUAGUAAAAUGAUAUGUAUUUAGGUUAAUUAAUCUAGUCAUCUUAUAGUGUACACGUAUUUGAAAUUGCAUUGAAUUUGGGUGUGGUAGCACAUGCCUUAGCACUUGUCAGGCAGAGGCCAGCCUGGUCUACAGAAUGAGUUCCAGGACAGCCAGGACUACACAGAGAAACCCUGUCUCAAACAAACAAACAUACUACAACAACAAAAUCCCACCUACGUUGUAUAUGUACACAUAUAACAUACACAUAUAAUUUUAUCAAUUGAAAAAAUAUUAGAAAAAUAAACGUGAUAUGAAGGAACACGUUGAUAGUCUCAGUGUGUAGGGCAAAAGGACCUCAAGUUAAGUCCAUGAAAGGUUCUGUAUGAGACAAUAUCUCAGAAAAAGAAGUUAAUGUAAAACAAAAUGCAAAUUAAAAGGUGACAGUCCUCUAUUUCUCUAUUUUGUUCCUCGGUUCUAUAUAUGCUAGAAACAGCUACCUCUGAGUGUUUUCAUAUUUGCCUAGAUAAUUCUUACACUAUUGAGUUUGCUCCUCAUUUGGUGGUUUCAGAUUAUAAGUUGUAGACUAUUACCAUUCUAAACCAUUUGUGUAUUUACAAUGUUCUGUGUUACAGCAACUAAUUUUUUUUUGUUGGUCUAAAGGACAGUUUAUUUAAAACAAGGGUUGAGAGAGAAGUGGAGGACAACUCUAGCAUAAAAGCACAUAGGAACUACCUCAAGGUAAAAAUAACUGGCAGUGGAAGAAGCUAUGUCUCACACAUGUAUAAACAGCUGACCUCUAUUAUUUACAUCCAAACCUUACAAAAUAGCAUGUCAGGUCAGCACUUAAACCAGUGUUAUUAGUUUUUGUUACAAAAGAUUAAAGCUACAUACGUCAAAAUUUUAAAUUGUACAUCAGCAACAGCAUUGUACAUCUAUAAGUUGGUCUAAGUGCAGGCUGGAGGAAGAGACCUCCCACUAAACACAAAGAACUUAGAUUCCAAAAAUGAUGAAUGUAAUCCUAAUAAAAAUACAAACACAGUAGCAGCGACUAAUUUAAAAUUUCAUUGUUCAGCAGUGGAUAUUCAAUGUUAUAAAUUAAAUCUCUAUUAAUCUUAUUUUCCCUACCUGGGACAUUUAACAAUGGAGACACUGAUAUGGAGACAUUUUUGUUAUCCCAGUGGAAAGAAGGAGAGCUGGCAUUGAGCCCUCACUCUUGGCAUCUGUUGGUAGAGAUUAAGAAUGCUGCUAAACAUCCUACAGUACACAGAACAACUUUUAUACAGACUUAUCUAUCCAAAAUGUCAGUAGUGCAUAGAUGGAGAAAACUGGUCUUGUGUAAAAGUCCUUACUAGUGCAGGUGGCCUAGGCUGCCUAUCAGAGUACUUACUCUGUGACUGUGAGUCAUUACUAACCCUGUAUGCCUCGGGUUGGCCUGUUUGUUUUGAUUUUGAAUCAAUAGAAUGAUAGUUGUGCUUGUUUUGAAGAAGGUUGAGAGGUUUAUUUGAAAUUCUACAUAUGAACCAUGUGGGAUAGACCUUGGCCUAUAGUAGGGAUGUUGGCUGCUCUUAAGUUGUUAGUUCAAUAAGUAAAUCUAUACCUAUAAUCAAAUUACAGAGUUUUCAAUAUCUCUGAAAUUUAAAAUCAGGCUUCUCAGGAAAAAUUAAAAUCUCACUAAAAGAAUAAAAUUAGAACAUUGUAAAGUUUUUAUAAAUAUAUAAAUUAAAAAGAAUAACCUUUAAAUAUAUGUUAGCAAUUUGGGGCAUACUAAACAUUUUAAGACUGAGUUAACUUUACCUUCAUACAAGUAUUUUAUAUAGAGUCUUGGAUAAAGUUUUAUAAUUAUGUCAUAGUUUGUACUUCAUAGCAGUACACCCUAAACUGUCAUUAUUUCAUUUAGCUUUUUUUUUUUCUGGGUUCAGUAAAGCCCUAGCUCCCAUUAUUUAAUUAAGAAAAUAUGUAUCAUAAAGGGGAUUUUAAUUUUAUUUGAAUUUCCUGCUGCUUUUUGUUGUUGUCUUCUCAAGAAAUUACUAAUUUUGUUUUUCUCAUUCAGACUGUUGAUAACAUUUUGGGGAACCAUUGUUGAAAGUACAGUUCAAGGGUACAAUUUAUAAAACUGGGCAGUAUCUACUUUAUUAAACCCUAGGUUUUAUAUAGGUGAUAGAAGAAUAUUUAUUCUCUUACUAACUGCCAUUGUAUAAACCUAUUAAUCUUAAACAAUUCUUUAUUUUCUUCCUAUUAUCCCUGUCAGUUAAGUAAAAAACAUGAAAUUCUAUAAGUAGAUUUUAUUCAAAGUAGUUUUUUUAAAAUUUUAUUUAUUAUUAUAUGUAAGUGCACUGUAGCUGUCUUCAGACAGACCAGAAGAGGGUGUCAUAUCUUAUUACGGAUGGUUGUGAGCCACUAUGUGGUUGCUGGGAUUUGAACUCAGGACCUUUGGAAGAGCAGUCAGUGCUCUUACCUGCUGAGCCAUCUCACCAGCCCCUCAAAGUAGUUUUUAUUUUGCAUUUGCAAACUUAAAAAUCUUUAACCAAAGCUUUAGAUAUAAAAGCCAGGUGCAAACUGGGCAUAUGCCUUUAUUCUCAGUGCUCAGGAGACAGAAACAGAGGCAGAGGCAGGCAGAUCUCUGAGUCUGAGGGCAGCUAGGUCUACAGAGUGAGUUCUAGGGCAGCAGAAAUACACAGAGGAACCCUGUAUUGAAAAAACAACAAU